rnacentral:rRNA from 1 species
UACGUAGGGGGCUAGCGUUGUCCGGAAUCAUUGGGCGUAAAGCGCGCGUAGGCGGCCCGGUAAGUCCGCUGUGAAAGUCAAAGGCUCAACCUUUGAAUGUCAGUGGAUACUGCCGGGCUAGAGUCCGGAAGAGGCGAGUGGAACUCCUGGUGUAGCGGUGAAAUGCGCAGAUAUCAGGAGGAACACCGGUGGCGAAGGCGGGUCUCUGGGCCGAUAUUGACGCUGAGGAGCGAAAGCGUGGGGAGCGAACAGG